AAAAAUUGAGAGCUGCUUGCUUACAUUUGAUGGUCGUUCGGUGGCUAUAUAAAAUGCAAAAAAAUUUAACAGUUGCUUAAUUUAACAAAUUUGAGAAUCGAGAGCAAACAAAGGAAAAUGGAAGAGAAAUAAGAAAGUGGAAAAGAGAAAAGAGAAGAAAAAGAAAAUAAGAAAAAUAAGAAAGAAGCCGAAUGUGGGGAAAAGAGAAAAAGAAAGGAAAAGGAGAAAAAAUAUUAGGGGAAAUAGAAUUGGAUAGUUAGAUCUACAUAAAGUGAGUUAGUGGGCAAUAA
rnacentral:lncRNA from 1 species